AGCUUUCCAACUUUUCAUUCUGCCUACUCCCUUAAAAAAAAAAAAUCUCCUGUUUUGGGAUUCUUCCUCAAGAAAGUAGAAGCAAAGCUGAGACUAACAAGGAAAGUUGCCAAGUGAUGAGCCCAAGACUGGGAGGCCCAGUGCAUGAAGUUGGGUCCCAGUAUUUCACUGGGCCCAUUUGCUUCUCAAACCACCGCUGGAGGCUGACUGCAUACACCAUUGAAACAGCGUUAGCUAAAGAUAAGUGACCUGCACACUGACCUGCAGUAAAUGCUCCUCAGACCUUAUUCUGCUAAAUGUCCUUGUAUAACUAAUAAUACCGGUAUUGAGCACUCUCUUUGAAAUGUCUUCUCCUAUUUAUCUGACCACUUCCUUUUUGUCUCCAUUGAGGAUUCCUUUCUCUCAACUGAUGAUAUUCUCCAGGGUUCUGUCCACCA
rnacentral:lncRNA from 1 species